rnacentral:lncRNA from 1 species
ACCAGAAUCGGGAAGCCAGCGAGCACACAGGAAGGCUGAGUGGUGGCAGUGGUGGUGAUGGGGUGUUGGGCUCAGCCAUCAGAGGUUGGGGUGGUGGGAGGUACAGGAGAUGGGGUGUAGGAGAGAGAGGAAGAGAGUCAUCUAUCAACAUCUCAUUGUCGUCUCAACCCAUCAGGGCAGGCAGGUCACUGACAUCUACACCUUUUAUGUCUGCUGCCUCCAUGUCCAAGGUCAAGGUUCAUCAUCUGCUGUGGUUGAUGUGGCUGAUGCAAAAGCUUGAAAUAUGAUGGUAUGCUUGACUGCUUAACCUUAUAACGCUUUGAUACAAAACAAACGCUGAACGCUAUUUUCGUUUUUCUCCUUUUUCUGUAAAAGCAAAAAUCCUCUUCGAAUUCCUUUCAUUUAGCAAAAACAGGCACUAAUGUAGGUCUCUAGUAAAAGCAAAGUGGCGUAAAGCAAACUUUCAGACAGCAGGGGAAACCUGUAUUUAACUACCUUCUCUCAGCCCCUACAUCCCACACAUUCUCCUCCAUAAAAUCAGCUAGAAUUCUCCGCGUGGGAAGGAAGGGAGAUGGGGAGGAAGAGAGACUCGCACCUGAGAAGCCAUAUCAGAAUAUCAAUAGCACGUGUGGCAGUUUCCCACCAUGUGAUUCUGAUCAAGCAUCCCUGCCACGGGUUGACUCCCAGCCCCCUGCUGAGAGUGUCCCUGUCACAGAGGUUUAUUCCAGUGGAGGAUUUGGACAUUCAGAGAUUUAGCUGAAAUGCAUGUGAAUAGAUUACUACUAAGAGAUUUACUUUGAAAUAUUUUGAGAGUAACUCUCCUGAGAUGCUGAAAACACUUCAACCUCGACAUUUCGGUAAAAAGAGUUUUUCUCUUCAUAAUGGCACAAAGUGGAAGCAAUGGACUCAAAAUAACCCAGGAGGCCUGGAACACAUGGGGAAUAUAAAAUAUUGAUUUGGAAGGCUGGAAGGGCUGCCUUAAGAGCAGGUAUCAGAUAAUCAUGGAAAAGAUGAAGCAAGAAGACAAUCCACCAGCCUCUAGGUCCAUUGGUUCAACAUCAGGUUCUGCAGCUAUGAUAGACUUGCUGGCUCAACUCUGCAUUAUUGCCACUCUGGGACCCUGAGCUUCACAGACUCCUUCCUGAUCGCUGAGCAAUCUCACAGAUGUGGCCCAGCGUCCAAGAUGGUACAGAUACAAACAGAAAGCUGACCACAUUUCAGAGUCCCAAAUAAGGAGCAAGAUGACACCUUCCACUGCCCCGUAUCCCUCCCUACAUUCUCCACUCCCAAACCUACUGGUACUCUCUGACUUAUCUCACACCCUCUAGACUUUAGCUUGGACAGAAGAAACCCUUCUUCUUACUUUCUUGGCAAUCUCUAAAAAAAUUCUCAGGCCAGGAAAGGGUAUCGUACUGCCUGUAGUUUAUAUCCUUCUCCCUGUGUCAUUAAGAACCAUCUUGUGGCU